UACGGAGGGUGCAAGCGUUAUCCGGAUUUACUGGGUUUAAAGGGUGUGUAGGCGGGCUAUUAAGUCAGCGGUGAAAUCUCCAGGCUCAACCUGGAAACUGCCAUUGAUACUAUUAGUCUUGAAUUUUGUUGAGGUAGGCGGAAUAAGUCAUGUAGCGGUGAAAUGCAUAGAUAUGACUUAGAACACCAAUUGCGAAGGCAGCUUGCUAAACAAAUAUUGACGCUGAGGCACGAAAGCGUGGGGAUCAAACAGG
rnacentral:rRNA from 1 species